rnacentral:rRNA from 1 species
GUGAGGAAUCUUCCACAAUGGGCGAAAGUCUGAUGGAGCAACGCCGCGUGAGUGAAGAAGGGUUUCGGCUCGUAAAGCUCUGUUGUCGGGGACGAAUGUGCAGUAUUUGAAUAAAGUACUGUAAUGACGGUACCUGACGAGGAAGUCACGGCUAACUACGUGCCAGCAGCCGCGGUAAUACGUAGGUGGCAAGCGUUGUCCGGAAUUAUUGGGCGUAAAGGGAGCGCAGGCGGGAAGGUAAGUCGGUCUUAAAAGUGCGGGGCUCAACCCCGUGAUGGGAUCGAAACUAUCUUUCUUGAGUGCAGGAGAGGAAAGUGGAAUUCCUAGUGUAGCGGUGAAAUGCGUAGAUAUUAGGAGGAACACCAGUGGCGAAGGCGACUUUCUGGACUGUAACUGACGCUGAGGCUCGAAAGCCAGGGGAGCGAACGGGAUUAGAUACCCCUGUAGUCC